CGCUAAGGCGUUGAAGCAGUGUACGUCAGACUUCCAAGAAAAGCUCGCAAUGUCAUGAAUAAAAAAUGCCUGUACCAUAACCGACACAGGUGGGUAGGUAGAGUAUACUAAGGGGCGCGAGAUAACUCUCUCUAAGGAACUCGGCAAAAUGACUCCGUAACUUCGGGAGAAGGAGUGCCUUAUUUAUAAGGUUGCAAUAACAAGAUCCAAGCAACUGUUUAUCAAAAACACAGGUCUCCGCUAAGUCGUAAGACGAUGUAUGGGGGCUGACGCCUGCCCAGUGCCAGAAGGUUAAAGAAGUUGGUUAGUGUAUGCGAAGCUGAUGACUGAAGCCCUGGUGAACGGCGGCCGUAGCUAUAACGGUCCUAAGGUAGCGAAAUUCCUUGUCGGGUAAGUUCCGACCCGCACGAAAGGCGUAAUGAUUUGGAUACUGUCUCGGAGAGAGGCUCGGUGAAAUAGACUUGUCUGUGAAGAUGCGGACUACCUGCACCAGGACAGAAAGACCCUAUGAAGCUUUACUGUAACUUGAAAUUGGAAUUGGACUUUGCUUGCGCAGUAUAGGUGGGAAGCGUUGAAGAUAUUCUUGCGGGAGUAUUGGAGCUAUCAGUGAGAUACCACUCUUGUAAUGUUAGAUUUCUAACUUUGAACCAUAAUCUGGUCAAAGAACAGUUUCAGGUGGGCAGUUUGACUGGGGCGGUCGCCUCCCAAAUGGUAACGGAGGCGUACAAAGGUUUCCUCUGAACGGAUAGAAAUCGUAUCUAGAGUGUAAAGGCAUAAGGAAGCUUGACUGUGAGACCUACAAGUCGAGCAGGGACGAAAGUCGGUCUUAGUGAUCUGACGGUACUGAGUGGAAAGGCCGUCACUCAACGGAUAAAAGUUACUCUAGGAUAACAGGCUGAUCUCCCCCAAGAGUUCACAUCGACGGGGAGGUUUGGCACCUCGAUGUCGGCUCAUCGCAUCCUGGGGCGGUAGUACGUCCCAAGGGUUGGGCUGUUCGCCCAUGAAAGCGGUACGCGAGCUGGGUUCAGAACGUCGUGAGACAGUUCGGUCCAUAUCCGGUGUAGGCGUUAGAAUAUUGAGAGGAGCCUUCUUUAGUACGAGAGGACCGAGAAGGACACACCGCUGGUGUACCAGUUAUCGUGCCAACGGUAAACGCUGGGUAGCUAUGUGUGGAGUGGAUAACCGCUGAAAGCAUCUAAGUGGGAAGCCCACCUCAAGAUGCGUAUUCUC
rnacentral:rRNA from 1 species